rnacentral:rRNA from 1 species
CAGGCCUAACACAUGCAAGUCGAGCGCUUGGGGUGUUCCCUUACGGGAAACCCCCUGGAGCGGCGGACGGGUGAGUAACACGUAGGCAACCUGCCUGUAAGAUCGGGAUAACUACCGGAAACGGUAGCUAAGACCGGAUAGCUGGUUUCUCCGCAUGGAGGGAUCAUGAAACAUGGGGCAACCUAUGGCUUACGGAUGGGCCUGCGGCGCAUUAGCUAGUUGGUGGGGUAACGGCCCACCAAGGCGACGAUGCGUAGCCGACCUGAGAGGGUGAUCGGCCACACUGGGACUGAGACACGGCCCAGACUCCUACGGGAGGCAGCAGUAGGGAAUCUUCCGCAAUGGGCGCAAGCCUGACGGAGCAACGCCGCGUGAGUGAUGAAGGUUUUCGGAUCGUAAAGCUCUGUUGCCAAGGAAGAACGCCUCAGAGAGUAACUGCUCUGAGGGUGACGGUACUUGAGAAGAAAGCCCCGGCUAACUACGUGCCAGCAGCCGCGGUAAUACGUAGGGGGCAAGCGUUGUCCGGAAUUAUUGGGCGUAAAGCGCGCGCAGGCGGUCUUUUAAGUUUGGUGUUUAAGCCCGGGGCUCAACCCCGGUUCGCACUGAAAACUGGGAGACUUGAGUGCAGGAGAGGAAAGCGGAAUUCCACGUGUAGCGGUGAAAUGCGUAGAGAUGUGGAGGAACACCAGUGGCGAAGGCGGCUUUCUGGACUGUAACUGACGCUGAGGCGCGAAAGCGUGGGGAGCAAAC